UCGGCUAACUCCGUGCCAGCAGCCGCGGUAAUACGGAGGAUCCAAGCGUUAUCCGGAUUUAUUGGGUUUAAAGGGUGCGUAGGCGGCUUUUUAAGUCAGGGGUGAAAGACGGUAGCUCAACUAUCGCAGUGCCCUUGAUACUGAAGAGCUUGAAUGGACUAGAGGUAGGCGGAAUGUGACAAGUAGCGGUGAAAUGCAUAGAUAUGUCACAGAACACCGAUUGCGAAGGCAGCUUACUAUGGUUUUAUUGACGCUGAGGCACGAAAGCGUGGGGAUCAAACAGGAUUAGAUACCCUGGUAGUCCACGCCCUAAACGAUGAAUACUCGCUGUUAGCGAUACACAGUUAGCGGCUAAGCGAAAGCGUUAAGUAUUCCACCUGGGGAGUACGGUCGCAAGAUUGAAACUCAAAGGAAUUGACGGGGGCCCGCACAAGCGGAGGAGCAUGUGGUUUAAUUCGAUGAUACGCGAGGAACCUUACCCGGGCUUGAAAGUUAGUGAAUCAUUUAGAGAUAGAUGAGUCCGCAAGGACACGAAACUAGGUGCUGCAUGGCUGUCGUCAGCUCGUGCCGUGAGGUGUUGGGUUAAGUCCCGCAACGAGCGCAACCCCUAUGUUUAGUUGCCAGCACGUUAUGGUGGGGACUCUAAACAGACUGCCUGUGCAAACAGAGAGGAAGGAGGGGACGACGUCAAGUCAUCAUGGCCCUUACGUCCGGGGCUACACACGUGCUACAAUGGAUGGUACAGAGGGCAGCAAGCUGGCAACAGCAAGCAAAUCUCCAAAAGCCAUUCACAGUUCGGAUAGAGGUCUGCAACUCGACCUCUUGAAGUUGGAUUCGCUAGUAAUCGUAUAUCAGCAAUGAUACGGUGAAUACGUUCCCGGGCCUUGUACACACCGCCCGUCAAGCCAUGGAAGUUGGGGGUACCUAAAGUAUGUAACCGCAAGGAGC
rnacentral:rRNA from 1 species